UCUGCCAUAGCUCAGUGGUUAGAGUACUGUCUUGUAAACUAGGUCGUGAGUUCAACUCACUGGUGGCU